rnacentral:misc_RNA from 1 species
AAGUCGUAACAAGGUUUCCGUAGGUGAACCUGCGGAAGGAUCAUUAACACGUAUCCAACGUUAAACCCCCCUGUGAACCUUCAGAAGUCCGUUCUCGUAACACCAGUGCGCCUCAGCAAUCCCGGUAAAUCAUUGUCGACCAGUAUUGAUUCGGGACCUCUGACAAAUGCCUUACGAUCGAGCUGUACAGUGACAUGGCUUCCAGUGAAUGAAAGUGUCACCGGAUAACGCCUCACGAUUGCUGGGUCGACCACCGGCCAGCUUCCAUGUCAUAGGGUCCUUUGAGAUCCCUUCGAAACCCCACUACUUUAUAGCCAAAAAAACGAACAACUGUUAACAAUGGAUAUCUUGGUUCUC